UCAGCACACAAUCCUGACAACUAAAUCUGUUCAUACUGUUGUCACCUCCACUGUUGCUCCUCAACUUCCCCAACGAAGUCUCGAUCUUUGGGUAAGAAGGAUGGAAGGCUUUACUGAUCAGCUUAACAAGGCUGCAUCCAAUGCAUUCAAUACAGCAGAAGACAAAGGGACAGCUGCAAACGAUGCAAGUCAGAAAAGCGGAGGGCAAGUGCAGCAGAUUGUGGAGAAAGCUAUCGAUCAGGGUGCAGAAGUUUUGAAGAAAAAAGGGGUUGAGUUGAUUAAUUCCAACGCUGGUAACUUACCAAGUUUCUCAAAAUGAUCAGCAACAUGGAGCAAGUGUAAAUUGUCACUGUUAAACUGCAUCUCUGGUAUUUGUAAAAGAAAAUUAGUCCAUUUAACUGAAUAAAACAUAUUGAUAAAAUCAUUCCACUCUA